GCGCCCCGCGGUGCGCCCAGCCUGCCGGUCCGCAGAAUCUCCGCCGGCCUGGCCCACCAGCUCGGUCGUGGCUUUAAUUUCUGCAAAUCACUACCCUGUCAGCGUGGUCGUUACCCUCACUCUCCCCCGCUGACCUACCGAGGUGUCUCCGGCUUUCCAAGCAGGUUUCCCACUGCUGGCCAAGGAGCAGAAACAUUCGCUGGGCUUCUGAGCUUAAAACAAACAGAAAAAUUCCAAAGUUCCACCAUGGAGGAAGAACCAAACAAAAUUUUUCAGGUGCUGGAGAGUUUGAAUUUAGCAGGAAGGUCUGGCUGACACGGUACUUAGAUGGGGGGCCGGGGGGAUCCACCCUAUAAUCAGAACUCCGAGAAGCAGAAGGUCAAGGCUUAGAUUCCAGGUACUGGGAUCUAAGAACGGAGGGAUACAUGACCAGUCGCUACCAUGUAGCCUUGCCUACCUCUGAGUGAGACUCACAGGCCAGACUAAAACAUUUCGUCCAUCCGAUUUACCUGGACCCACCUGACUCGCUACGGAGUGCUGAACUGAGGCCCACGUUUCGUCCAUCUGCUAUUUACUUGGUGUCUACUCUCUGUGUAAGACAUAUAAGGAAUAAAAUUAUACAGAGGCUCCUUUCCUGUCCCCCAGGAGCUUCGGACCUCACGGAGGUGGGCAGACAUGUGGCCAGAGCCAUUGAAUACCAGUGCCGGGUGACCGUGCUGCCCAGAGGCGCCAUUCACGCCGCAGCCCCACCCACCCCGUCCACCUGCGUCCGCCAUCCUCAGGGCCCGUCCCCCUUCCCUGCGGGUCUCCCCGACUACACUAAGCAAGUGCUAAUCUAUCUCUACACGAUAUCUGUCCCAGCACAUGGACGAGGCCUGCCCGUUCGAAGCAUAUUUUGUUGAAUGAAGGAAGAAACAAACGAAUUCAUGCCAGGGUCCAUGUUCGUUCUGUGAUUGCGUCAAAUUUGAUUUUCCUGCAAGAGUUUAGAGAAGUAGGCUUCCUGUAGACCUGCUGCUAAGCCUGGCACUGCCCGAGGCCUCUUGCUGGGCUUCAGAGGAGGACUUGGGGCGGAUGUGGAAGGUGGAGGAUUUCCAUACAAAUGCCCAAGCAAGUCAGGGAGGCGUCGCCCUUGGCCUGGCAGAGGGAGACAAGCGGGGAGUGCACCUCAGAGGCUCCGGGGGGGACACCAGGUUGCAGAAAAGGGUGUGCAAACUACGCCAACAGUUUGGAACUGUGGGCUCCCUGUCGCUUCCGCUAACUUUGGGGCAGCCCCUCUGACCUUCAGGGGCAGCUCUGUGACCUCUGCACUGGUGCACCCCCUCCUCCCUCACCCCCA